rnacentral:piRNA from 1 species
UGGGUUACACAGGUAUUUGUUUACGUCU